rnacentral:rRNA from 1 species
UGUAAGCGUAUACCAAAGUUGUUGCAGUUAAAACGCUCGUAGUCGGAAUUUGGCAGUUCCGGAUGUGUGCACGUCGUGUGCGCACUUCGCGGGGAUUGCUUUUGUGGUCUUGCGUAGGAUGAGGCACUUUUAUUAGUGAACGUCCUCACGCAACCACUUUUUACUGUGAGAAAAUCAGAGUGCUCAAAGCAGGCAUUUGCCGUGAAUGUAUUAGCAUGGAAUAAUAGAAUAGGACUUGGUUCUAUUUUGUUGGUUUGUUGGGACUGAGUAAUGAUUAAGAGGGACAGUUGGGGGCAUUUGUAUUUCGGUGCUAGAGGUGAAAUUCUUAGAUUACCGAAAGACAAACUGCUGCGAAAGCAUCUGCCAAGGAUGUUUUCAUUGA